rnacentral:miRNA from 1 species
UUGGCUUCGGGGAGUACGUGG